AUCCAGCUCAAGAGUCCGAAAUAGGACGAAACGCGCGUCAAACUGGAU
rfam:Schistosoma rodhaini strain Burundi genome assembly, scaffold: SROB_scaffold0000185